rnacentral:lncRNA from 1 species
AUCCAAAGUUGCUCCGACUAUGUCCCUGAAGCCUGCUACUCCACAGUGGCAGCGAGUAUGAAGGACAUGUCGGUGACUCACUGAUCACGCAAAGACCACUGACUUAGGGCUUUGAGCCAAGGGUCAGAGACCCUGGCAGUCCUGGCUUCACAACCUCUCAGGGCAACCAUACUAAGCGACCUUUGCCUUCAGGACUAUUCUUGGCUGGCUGAAAUUGCGCGGAGGAGUUCAGCCCCUGCAGGACCGAACAGGGUCACCUCCCUGCCUCCUCCUGUAGCAGCCUCUGACGCAGGCCCGAAAUCUGGGGCAGGAUUUCUUCUGUUCUUGGAGAAGGCACAUCUUUCAUAUCCACACUUUCAUCCCUUGACUGCGGCUAGGACUUCCUUCCAACCGCAGACUUUACCUCUGUCAUGGAAUAAGAAGGAUACCGAUUUAAUAAUCCUCAUUAAAUAUAGUGCUACACUGUGGAAAUCUGUUGUAUUUGACAGAAACCCAAACGCUACUGACUUGUCGCUAGAAUAAUUACAGGUAGUGUUUACCAGACUAAACACAUUUGUAGGAAGGGUGAAUGUAAUGUGUUUAAAGGAAAAACUGUCUUAAAUGCUGUCAAGUACUUUAAAAUGUCACAUUGCACCAAAACAAUGGAUUCCGGGUACACCUAAGUCUUCUAUAGUCACAAAAGCAAGUUCUCUAGGAUUUCUUAUUGUUUUUCUUACUUUUUAUUUACUGCAAUAAAACAACAGAAAAGCCUUUAUAGUUCACUCUUGUUUUGCUCACUUACUUUGGUUUUCUCCCCCAGUCCGUCUGAAAACAAAUGUUCUCUUUCAUGACUUUAUCCUUCAGUGAAGUGUAUUCUGGGUGUCACAACUGAAUUCUGCUUUCUAAAUCAUAUACAGAAAAUGUUUCCCCCAAUCUCUCCACACUUCUUAUAGGUGGAGCAUGCGUUGAAGGUGAGGAAAAAUCUGGAGGCUCAGAGGUAGAGAGGCCUGCCUCCCUGGGAGCGUACUUUUCAUUCUUGGAGCUCUGGUUCUUUGGGGCUCACAUCGUGAUCUCUGGGAAAGUGAGCUAAAUGAGAGCUAAAUGUAUUAGCUAAGCAGCAAAAGCCCCACAUCUUAGCAGAUUUACAUACUAAAAGUUUCUAUCUUGAUACAUAACAGCCCAAGGCUGUU